rnacentral:lncRNA from 1 species
AUGCAAAAGCUUUAUCAUACUAUAAAUAACCUUCAUCAUCUUCACUCCAAUACUCACCGAUCAAACUCUUAUCUAUUCCUCUCUACAGCAAGGAGCCAAGCGUCAUCUACGAUGGCAAAGUUCGCCAUUCUUUUAGCCAGUUUCAUUGCUCUUCUCUUCUUGGUUGAUGCUUCCAUCUAUCGAACAACUGUCAUCGUCGACGAGGAGGAUGCGAACCCAAGUUAUCAAAGCUGUCGCGAGCAGGUUGUCAUGCGGCAGUAUCUCUCUCCUUGCCAGGAAUAUAUCAGGCAACAGGUUGCUGGACUCGGUUUGAGCCAUGGGUACAACCCACGUCUUCGUGAUUGUUGCGAACGAAUUCAAAGUAUGCAGACCCAGUGCCGAUGCGAGGGUCUGAGGAUGGCCAUUGAUCAGCAGAAGAGCAAGGGACAAAUUCUGGGACAGGACUCUCGCCAGGCUUACAACAUCGCUCAGGACUUGCCAUACACGUGCGGUGUCUCACCACAGAAAUGUAGGUUCGGAACACGAUGGGGGUUCUGAAGGGAAGGUGGAGAAAGCCAUCUACAUGCUUGCACAUGAUAUGGGCAGCAGUUAAUAAAGACAUCACUAGCUCUGCACUUUUGGUUGGAGAUUAGAUGAUGCCUAGCUACCAGUCAUUUCAGAAUAAGCACAUUAUCAUGUGCGGUUAAGUCAUAUAUAUAAAUGCAAGUCUUGC